rnacentral:piRNA from 1 species
GACUGUGGAUUAGGGAUGGUAAAGUAG